AUGAAGAACUCCUGCUGCAGAAGGUGGGUGAAUUCCGGUACCAUAUGGAAUUUGUAGCAGUGACAAGCAGUGACUAGAACCCUAGGUCUAGUACUAGUGGGUAUAUAAUAUGCAGGCUGGUUGUCCCAAGUCACCAUCUGGAGGACUGGAGUGAGUUUCCAGAGGAACCGUCACAGAAAAGACCUUGUCGAGGCUCAGCUUGCACUUUCUCAAGCUCAGGCACACAAUGGAAGCAGGACAGCAAGGAGCAGAUUCCUACCUCCUAAAUCUUCUGUCCAUUAGUUCCCCCCCUUUGUUUACCUCUCCCAUUUUAUUGUAGUUUCUCACCAGUUGAACGAGGCAAUGAGGUCACUGUUUGGAGAUUAGGGUGCAGAAGUCAGCCUGAGUGUGAAGACAGAAACUAAUCAGGAAGGUUUGUCGGGGGAGAGGAGUGGGGGGACUGUACCUCAGUACAGGAUUAGUAAUGGUUGUACUGGGUGAGUUUAAAACCACCUUAAACUUCCCUUUCUUCAGUACUGUUGCACAAAGCAGUUGGGUCAAAACUUGACAGGAAGUGUUGUGCUGCCUGCUUUUGUUUAUUUUUUACAAGGAAAGAAGAAAAUUAGAAAAAAAAGGUCUUUUUUUUUUUUUCAAGUAAAUAAGAGAAGUAGAAAAAAAAAAGUCUUUUGCAGAGACAACAAAAGUUCGGAUAUUUGCUCUUCCUCCCUCCCUCCGUUCCUUCCUUCUGCACUUGCAGAUGCUGAUUUGUGGGUCCCUUUCUUUGCUGCCCAAGGAGCUAGAAAGUUUUAUGAACUGUUUUGCAGCCAGUCUAUGAGAAGUGAGUAGGGGGCAUCACUCUGGAGCAUUGAUGCUGGAAGAAGGAGACACUUUGAACAGGUGGGGAUAUCCAAUUUUGUUAGCUCCAGCUGAUAUCUGUGACCCAUGUCUGGUGUUGGUUCCAGAGCAAUGCACUGCUCUUGUGAUCCUGUCCCCUGUCACCCCCUCGCCUGGCCCAGCACUUGGAGGGGCUCCCUAGGUCCCUGAUAAUGUCCUUCACUGAGACCUUUCGUGGGGAACAGGAUUACCUUCAUACCAGCCUUUUAAUCUACAGAGCACAGGUGACUGCUGGAGAGCCAUGGGAUGUGCUGUCCACGUGGGCAUUCAGACAGGGUGCCUGGGCACAAACAGAGUGUGGGAUGUGUGUACAGCCAUGUGCUGGGUGCAGUAGGGUAUGGAGUACUGUGGUGUGAAAGAUUCAGAGGGGUGGAAAAGAAAGGAAGGAGGACAGGAAGUGAGCACGUGUUCAUUCCACAUGCAAGAUGUCCCAGAGGAUGCUGUUCUGUACUUCCCAGUCACAUCUGACCAUCCAGGAGCUGAGUCAGCCUGCCAGAGCACUCAUGCUGCCAGCAAGAGAGCUGCAGGCAGGUGCAUCUCGGGUUGAACGCACCGGUUGCAGGAGUCAGGUCUUCCCUGAGUGAAAGGUAAGUACCAAAGCAACAACACUUUGUUUUUGAUACAAAAUGUAGCAGCAGCAUGACCUGGCAUCCUCUGAAUGUGGUGGCCCCCGUACUGCAAGAAUGCCAGAAAUGUGUUUGCAACUGCUCCAAAAUUCCAGUCCACUUGUACAAAGACUGAGCCCUGCAUUGGUGGACAGGCUCAGAGAUCUCAAGUGACAAGUCCCCUCCUUAGGUCCAGCAAAAGCUGGCACUGGCAAGGGGGAAGGAGCCAUCACUGUCUCCUACUAAACAAGAAACUUCAGAGACUGCAGAAAAUUUGCAAAUUUUCUUGCAGAUUCUUGUAAAUUCUUGCAAAUCCAGCAAAAACUGGAUAAAAUGGUGCUCAGUUGCUCAGGUGCCAUGAUGUUGCAGCUGCUCUGUGUCCCAGAUCCUUGCUGGGACUGCAGUAGCACUGAAUAGUUGGUCUGACGUCCUGGCAGUGACUGUGAAGUGAAAAGGCUUUGGCAGACGAGUCCCCAGUUGCCCCAGUUUUCUCAGACUCAAAUAGGUUAUUGUCCUUCUUUCCUCUCUGAUGCUAACAAGUUUCCUCUAUAAAAACCCUUCCCCCUCUGAUGCUAGGGCACUGAUUUGAGAGCUUGCAAGACCACCAGAAAAGUGGUCUCCUGCUAAAUCACAGUCAGUGUUUUACAAACAGUUGCUUAUAUAGGAAAGGAGCAGAGCAAGUGGAGAGUGGGAGGACCGGGAACUGAGUGAAGUACCCUGAGGGAACGCCCCUUGGCCCAUGGUGAUGGAAAGGGAUAAUGGUUGCUGCAGGCUCUAGAAGGAAGAGCAAUAUUCACAUUAUUCCACUGGUAUCAUUUGUAGGAAGGAGUUCAGAGCUGCCAUGGUCAGGAGGCCCUCAGAGAAUGGAAACACCACUGAUCUUGGCAGUGAGUAAUCCCAAUGCCUCAGAAGCAAGGGAGUGACAUUAGUACUUCAGUAGCAAUUCCUGGUCAUUUUGGCAGCCACCAAAAUAUCUGCUUGUGAGGAACAGAAGGGCAGCAACCAUCUACUUUAAGCAGUAGCCACUGUGUAGCUGUCCAAACCCCUUUUGGGUUUUGCCUCAUCUUUCUGCAGGACUUCUUGAUCCAUGACACAGGACUGCUAAUUUUUCCAAUGUCAGGAGAUGACAGUGAGGAGAGGGGUUGCUCCACCUGAAGAAGUUGCAGAAAGGGACCAACUGGAGCUCUCACUCACUGACUUUCACUCUCACUUGUCCAGGCAGUGCAGUGUCAGGACAGAGCAAAAGACAGGGUGCAAAGCAGUGAAGGAGCCACCGUGUCGCUCAUUUAGUGAUUGCCAAACCCUCCUCUGGCUCUCCCGAAGAAGUUUUGUACUGAAAAAGCAUGGCCUGAAGGUGAGCCAGUGCAUAAGAGUUUUAUGGCCACCUUGCUUCCUCUAUCCACCCAUUCAUAUUUCCCCUACUGCAGUAUUGUCAACAUAUUAUCUCACUUAUUGCACAGGCUUGUAAAACCUCGAGCCUGAGCAGACACCCAUACGUGCUGCCCUUUUCUUUUUUCAUUCCCAUAUGUGAGUGACAAACCCCGUGGGUGGUGGGGGAAUCACGUACCGUGUGCAUGACUGUGUCAUAUUUACUGCUGCUGCCUCUCUCUCCUGUAGCCUUCACUGAAUAUUUUACUAGGGAGGAAGGGAGAGAGAGAGGGGCAAUAUUGCUGUAGCUUUCUGAUCUUUGUAUUUCACGUGAUUGUCCUGUAGCUACUGGCAUGCUCUGGAUUUGGAGUGUAUCUGUACUGGUGUCUGGCUCUUAUGCCAGUGGUGGCAAGUGUGCAGGUAUUCUCACUGUGCCAUGGGACUCAAGUGUGGUGUUUGGUCCACAUUGCCCACUCCAGUAGAUACACCUGUCGUCCCAUCCCUGCCCCCCAUUCUACUUGUUUCUACACCCAUUUAACAUGUUUAUGUCCAUUCAAGUAUUGGCAUGAAAAACCAUAGGCCCAGGUCAGUGCAAAGCUAUGCAAUUACUAAUGACUUUUCUUUUUUUUUUAAAUAGGGAUCAAAUUAAGCUACAGCAAUCCUUUAUUGCUAGUUAUGCAGCCAGGCCCAGAGGGGAACGGAGCAGCGUGCUCUACUUCCUGGGUGAAGUAAGGGUAACCCCAAUGACUGUGGGAACGUGGUAGAUCCUCAGAGACAGAGAUUGCAGAAGAUCUGCAGGAACCUGCAGAGAGGAGGAGGACCCUUCCUGUCCCUGCCCAGCUAGGGACUAGACUGCUUUGUAGGCAGCUGACAGGGCAGUUCAAGCAGUGCCAGGACUGACUUGAACACUGAUGUGGCAUUCCUGGAAGAAAGAGGCCCCCAAUCCCUCAACUCUUCUUUGAUGAAAUCUGUCCAAGAAAAAGAUGCAGGUAAUUUCCCCUCAGAGCCCUGCUGAGCUUUACAGGGCAAGAGCUCCUAAAAAGAUCAAACAUAAAAAUGC